UAAAGAGUUUAGAGGUGUUAUAUAUGGAGUGGUAAUUCAUGUUGAGAAAAUGGUUGAUAUUAAUAAAGAAGGGGGAGAUUUGGGAGUGUGGCCAUGGGGGUUGGAAAGCUCCAUGGUUGAGAUAACAUUAGACUCUUAACGAUAAGGCCAUCAGGAAUAUAAAAGAGUUUAGAGGGAACAAAGAAGGGUGAUUCAGGAGACUCCAUGCAGUCUAGGGUUGCCACAUUCUUUUCCUCUGAACAACGUAAAUCUGCAAAAACAACAUUUCUAUAUCCACAUAGCCAAACUCCUUAUUAGUCAUGGUGGUGGGAAAGGCUGGCUAAGGACACCUGGCUUGAGGGAUAAAAAAGGUGGAUGUCCUAUGUUGACUCCAUCAGGUUUGUCUGUCCAGUUUUACACCUAAUUUAGAUACAGUCUAGAUGUGACCCUCUUUGUGGAAGAGGCUUUGCAGCAAACUGGGCAGGCCAGGAUUUGGAGACAGGCUGCCUGAGCAGCCUAGUCUGUCAGCGUGCUCUUCAGUGCUGCUGUGUGUGGAGUUACAGAUCUCUGCCCUUCUCCACCUGCUCACUGCUGUGUGGCUUGCCAGAGGACGGCUUUUCCUUUACUGGCCAGUUGCCAUCAGCUUGCUGCAAGCCAAGGCUGGCCAAGAAUCCUGGAAACGCUUCUGAGCUUUGGAGUCAUGCUGCCCAUCUAGUCUGACAGAAACCAUGAGAUCUCCUUGAACUAACCCCUGUUUGAAUUAGGGCAGGGUCAGCAGAGAAACUCGCAGCUUUAUUUUCAGGUUGUAAGUGAUGAAGAAUCCACUGCACCUGAUCAGAACUCACUGAUAAAUUAUUUCAUUAUAUUGUUAUCCGUUUGUCUAGCAAGGAAAAUUUCUCUAGUGUCACAUCUUUCUUGUGUAAACUGUAUGCUAUUUAUUAUUAUAUCAUAGUAUACACUAUUACUGGUUAUUAUUCACUGCUGCCUUUAGGGGAGAUUUCUUCCUGAUGUUCUCAGUAUCCUCCUAACUACAUCUGCUGUUCUUUAAUAACAUUGAAUGUAUUUAUAGCAGUCAUUAGCCUGCAUUUCGUACAAUAA
rnacentral:lncRNA from 1 species